GCUAUACAGCAAGAUCUCAUUGCUUAUCCAUUCAAAUGCAACAGUUUGCAUCUAUUUUGUUCUUUUUUUGGCUGAGUAGUAGUCCAUUGUGUAUAUAUACCACAUCUUCUUAAACUGGAACUUUGAAAUGCCUUUUGACACACCUUUUGACACACAUACGGCUGCCUCAGCAGUAGGGCUUCUUGUCAUUUAGAGCAGGUCCUUACACAUCUGUCCAAGGCACCCUCCCUCAUCUCCCUCCACCUCCUAAGUAGCUGGGGUCUUGGAGAGCAUGCUCAGGGGCACAACUAGCUGCCUGCUGGGGCCUCUGCUGAGACUCUUAUUGCCCUGUCUGCCCUGCUCUGGGGACUUCUCAUGUCUUAAACACCUACUGUGCCCAGAGCACUUUUAAGGGUGCUUAGCCAUUUCCCCCAGUCCGCAUGGCCAUGUGCAGUGCGUCCACCAGCACGAUUACACAGAAAUGUAAAGAGAGACGAGGAGAGUUUGCGUGAGAUGCUCAAGGUGACAGCGCACAUGGUGGAGGUGGAAGGCGCCACCGGACACUAGCGUCUAUCUUUGCUUUGUCACAGAAACAGCAUCUGGAAAGUGGGCAGGACCCCCUGCCGCAAAAUUCUGUGGGUGCUUGCUGUUAUUUUCUCACUUGUGCCUCUAAGCUUCGGACACGGUGGACCACUCAUCAGUACCUGAUGGGGGAGGCAGGGCCCCCGGGGCUGAGCUGCUCAAUCAGCAUCCUGAACUCCAAGUGCCUUUCUCUCUGCCCCCUUGGGUCUAAGCUGAAGAUUAGAUGAUAAAACAUCAUAAAACCAGAUUCGGACAAGGAAAUAAGUCGUGUCAUGCAUUGUGGAAGGAGGCUUUCCUAGGACAUGAGACAGUUUUCUGGCUGACUCUCUCCCAUCCUGUCAUUUCCAUCACACGCUUAACCCUUUCGGCAACGCCAUGAGCACUGAUCACUAGCUUUCCUAUUUCACAGAUGAGAAAACUGAGGCUGAGAGAGGAAAAGUGCCAUGGCUAAGAUCCUGCUAACCUUUGUUCUUAGGGAGCCCCAAUUCAAGGCAAGGGGAGCCAAUGCACACAGCCCAGGGGGCUGAACCAAGAUGCAAACACACGCUGCUGCCUCCAAGCCCAUUUUUCAUUACGUUGUUCUACCUGGAAGAGGCAGCAGGUGAUUCAGGAUGUCUGGGGACCAGCCAGCUGGACCCUGUACCUCCAUACUCUGCUCUGUGCUCUCAGGAUCUCAAAAUGUAUCAAACACCAGUUGUGCUUGCUCUUUGCAACUUUUCAUAAAAUGCUACAUGCAGAGACAGCGAUAUUAGCCUGAAUCCAACCAAGUCAACUGGCUGAAAACUGGCUGGAUCAAAGUGGCUAUAUUUAGCCUCUGUUAUAAUAGCCUCUGCUAUUAAGAAUAGCGUGUCUUAGUGACAGAUCGGGGACCUCAGAAGGCCAUGUGUAUGCAUACUCAUUAACUAAGCAUUUGACUCUUGCAAGACAUUUCUGAGGCAUCACACGAAGAUACAGACAGAAGCUAGGUUUAAAAUGCUCAUCACAUCAUCAUUUAGAAGAAAUGACAUUGAAAUGAAAUUAUUCAACAUAACAGAAAUGGUCAAAUAAAUCACACUACAUCCACGAAACAGAAAACUAUGAGGCGAUUAAAAUAUGCCUCAGUUAUCCCAGCAUAACUGAUGGAAUAUCAACAUAUUUAUAAGACACAAAAAGAAAAGAUAUAAGCUGCCAAAUUAUUUCAAUUUUGUUUACAUAUAUCCAGAGAGAGAUUGGAAAGAGAGGUUGUCCAGAAAGAAAAAAUAGAAAGAGAAAGGGAAAGUGAUAAAAAGGAAAGGAAAAAAAUUGGGAAAAAAAAUGGGAGAACUUAUUAAGUGUUGCAAGUGUUUAUAUGACACCUAGACGAUGGCAUUACGGGGUUAUUUUUAUUCUAGCGCUUCUGGUGAUAAAUACAUAUUCAAUGAAAGUGCGAGCAUUGUGCAAUCAGAAGAAACCCACUCAGCGGGUCUGGUCUCAUGGCUACUUGAGGAGAGGGGGCGGGUCUCAUCCUCUCUUUGCUCUUUUCUUCACUCUUGAAAGAUUAAUUGAUUCUAUUUGGCUUCCACAAUGAGUUUCUGGGUUAAGAGCCAUUUUCUUCAGAUGUGACGAUUCUACUCUCAGUACAGCUCUGUUGUUCCUGAGACUAAAUAUUUUAUUUCUGAAUUCUCUCUCGAGUGCUCACUCUCACUGCUUUUAACCAGACAUCACUGGUGCUGUCCUUGGAGUCACAAAUGAGCUUGAUAAUUUUCUUCUCUGAAUACAUAAUAGUCAACAGUUAAAGAAGAAGGAGAAAGGGAAAGGGAAGAAGAGGAAGAAGCGGGGGAGGGGAGGAGGGGAGGGAGGGGGGAAGCAAUCGUUUCGGGUGAAAAUACCCAUUAGAUUUCACAUUCUUGAGUUAAAACAGUAGCUCUUCCAUUGACUAAUGACCUUGGUCAAUUCCUUUAAUGACUCUGGGUCUACAAGGUUUCCGUUUCAUCUUUAAGAUCUCUUUAAAACUUGGCCCUAAAACUCUGAUGUAUUUUGCAUUUAAGACUAUUUUCUCUGGUUCUUAUUUCAAAGACUUCAAGGCAGUGAUCUCCAGAGUCUCUUCUCAAUGAACACUAAGCAGAAAGGAGAUUCAGAUCCGAAUUGUUCUCCUAACUCCUGAUUCCACCAUGGCUGGUUCAUCCUUUUGGUUAAAUCCUUUGUCCAGGCUUCUGAAAUACACAAGCCUCAAGAGGGCUAAUGCCCACAGCAGUAAAGGGACAGGUUUCUCAGACUGUGGUCCCAGGUGACAUGAACAGUCUAGUCUGAUAGGAAGGGCACUGGUCAAGGAACAGGCAUGCGGGUACCAUGGUGGCUUUGACACUGAAUCUCUGGGGCUGCAGUUUUACAAAGAGACAAUGUCUCCUUAUCUACUGAACAUACGUCGGGUUCCAUGGUGGCUUUGACACUGAAUCUCUGGGGCUGCAGUUUUACAAAGAGACAAUGUCUCCUUAUCUACAGAACAUACACGCUGACCCUGAUGGACACCAGGCACUGGGUACUGGGUCAGGUGCUGCGAAUGGAAAGGGGUCACAACAGUAUGGUCCACGUUCCACUGAGUUCUAAGCUGUAGGGACCAAGGGAGCAGUCAGGUGGCUCUCACAGGAACACAGGCACACAGUGGUGACUGUCACACGGCAAACGCACCAGUGCUCAGCCAGGCUGGAGGAGACUUCUGGGGGGAACAGACUUUAGGCAGAGAUCUAAGUAGGAGCCACGAGGCAACGGAGAGGGAAGACAAGAGGAGAUGCAGACAACGUCCUACCUUCUAGGUGCGAGCUCUUCAGUGGAAAUGCUAAUACACAUGCAGCAUGAACACAUGGUCAUAGGCAGUAAGACUCACAAGGGAUGCUGAGAUCAAAUAAUAUGGGGGGAUUAUAAGAAGCAAGGUUAUUCUUACGGGAAGAUAAAACGUUUUGUCUAAGUAGGAAGAGGAAACUGAGCUGGGAACGUGAUGGUCUGGUGAUACCAGGGCAGAAGCAAGAAGAUACAGGUGGUGGGGUGGGCUGUGUAGUUAAGCAUCUCUGCCAGGUGUCACAGAACAAGCAAAGGCAGCCACUUCCUGAGGGUACCAGGAAGGUGCCCAGGCUGAGCCGGGGCGUGUGUCGGGAGAGAACUUGAAAAGGCUUAUUUCAAAGACCUUGAAGACAGAGCUUAGAAAUGUCCGGCUAUUGGAUGCUUCCCAGUUCAUAUCAAAAAGCCCUUUCAAACGUCUAGUGCUGUGGGCUGAGACUUGCUCUCAGAUCCAAUCCUGCCCUUGUGUUUUCUCUCUGGUCUCUGGCUGUUCCUCCUCAGGCAUCUUCAUGAGCUUCUUUUCAUCUGCUCACCCCAGAUGUUCCUGGGGUCCCAGCAGACCUUGGCUGCCUUCUCUUCAAAAUCCACAGAACUUCCAUAUGGAAAUUCAGCCCCGGUGCCGUCUUUAAUCUCUGGGUGUUUGCUGGGACUCUGAGUGGAUGACCCUCGGCUCAGAUCUUCCCCAGGAGCAGCUGUGCAUUCCCUGCGUUUGCAUUUUAUCACACUGAGGGACUUUUUGGCAGUGGAGGUCUCCUUUCCCUCCACCCCGUCUUACAUGGAACGGAAAUCCGCGUAAGCAUGAUUUCAUCAGUGCGAGGCAGUAUAUGUGUUUCAAGUGUAUAACAUUUGCUCAAGAAAAUCCAUGAAGCCGUAAGGUUGUGAUUGACAUGCAGGGUUGAAAUCAGGAGCUACAAAGCCUUGGUUAAGCGUUUUCCUUCUGAUUUAAUAAGAUACCGGACAUUUCCAACAACCAUUGUUUUUUUGUGUGUGAUAAAUACUUGAUUGCUCCCAUGUCUCCCCCCAACAUUAUUUUUGGUUCCGUUUUUGUUUAUUUAUUUGUUUGUUUUUGGCAUGAGGAAGCUCCUGGGCUAGAGACAGAACUCGAGCCACAGCAGUGACAGUGUCGAGUCCUUAGGCACCAGGCCACCAGAGAACUCCGGUUCUGUUUUUACUUUAAUCCCCUCAUGAUAAUAUUCAAGAAUUCUAACAUUGAUUCAAAAAGAAAAGUUCAGGAUCAAUUUUAGCAUCUAAGCUCUAUCUCUAAUUAUAUCUAACAGACGCCCUUCCUCGUGCAAAUUAAAGUCAGAUAUGACGCAUGGGGAGCUGGGAGUAAAUGCUGAAAUUCCACGUAACAAGAUUAUGGUAACCCAGGAUGCAGUCCAUUCUGCUCUCACCACACAGCACUGUGCUAAAUGAUGCAGCGGCCAGACCUGGCAUCUGGGCCCCUCACAGCAGCACUACGGAGGGGGCGCCUGUGGGCACAGAGUCAUGUGAUCAGAUCUGUGCCUGCCCGACUGAUUAAAGGUGGGUCCAUCAGCCCUACAAUGGCAUAUAUAUUGAAAUGUGGACAGAGAGAACAGGGAACAGCAGCACAGCUGGGGCUGGGGAGGAGGACAGCAGCUGACAUCUGAAUACCGCUACUGUUUCUAGGGGACUCCCAUCACCCAACCGCAUCUUCAAGGUGACCUUGCAAGAGAGGCUCUGUUCUUGCUAUCGUUUUCAUACGCAGAAACAGAGGUACCAGGCACUCGUUUCACUGUUUUAAAGAGGUGGAACCAGGGUUUGAACCCAGAUAGAUUGUAGACGUGGUUUUGUGCUCUUGAAGAGACCUUCAAUGGGUAAAUGCUCGUUAAAAUAAAGACAUAAGCAUGUCAUACAUUGCAUCUUUUUUAAAUGGUUUAGAAUAUUUAAAACAGUAUAACUGGGAUGACAUGUGCCUAAAAACGCAUCCCUGGGACACUGGCGGGGCAGCCUGAGAAGGUCUGAUUCUGCCACUAUUGCAACCAUGUCAGUGGGAGGGAUGAGGCUGGAGCACAAAACAGGCUGAGGAAGCGCUGACCCCAGGAAAGACUGGGGGCCUGACCAGAGGAAGGUCAGUGGGCUUGGAGGGACCAGAGGGAGGUCAGUGGGCUUGGAGGGACCCGAGAGACCUGAGGAGGCAGAGAAGGGCCCAGCUGAUAAGACCUGAAAUUUGACUGGAUGUGGAGGUCGGGGGGCGGGGCGUCAAGGAGUAAUUCUGGUCCUUCUCGCUGGACCAGUUCAGGGGCAGGACCAUUUAUCACACAGCUGAUUUGUUCCUUCAGCUGAUGCUCAGCACAAGUCCUGUUCUCAGCACUGUGGGUGGAGCAGGGAACAACAAGACCUGCCGGGCUCUGGAGCCAGACUCUCAGGGUUUGAAUCCUGGCUCCAUGACUCGCUGCCUAAGGGAUGUUGAGCACAUCUGCAAAUGCUCUGUGCUUAAAUUUCCUCUUCUGUAAAAAGGGACCGAUCCACGUAACAUACCGCUUAGAGGAGGUGUCAUAACAAGUACAUCCAUACACAUAAAUACUUAAAGCAUCCGAAACACUAUUUUCUAGCACCUAGAAAACACUCAGGAAUGAUUUACUGAAAGCGGCACUAUUAUUAAAUGGUAGAGGCGACAAAGAGAUGAAAUAAAUACGUAACAAAACUAGCUCUGAAGUAGCCUGAAGAAAAAGAAAGCAGAAUAAGAAACCGAGUGGCAACCGGAAACCUAUUUUUAAAAAAUGGGCAAGAAGCAUCUCUGAGGUGACAUUUGAGUAGAGACCUGACCGGGGUUUAUCAACAAAGCAAGUGUGGCGAAGACUGGGAGAGGGACUGACUUCCAGGUGGAAGGACCCCCCUGAGGUUCAGAAGCUCUGGACUGCGAAUGAGCUUGGUGCAUUCAUUCAAGGAAGAGUAAGAGCAAUGAGGAAGAGAGUGGGAGAUGAGUUUAAGGGGAGAGUCAAGGAUCGGAUCAUCCAGUGCCAAGCGGGACCCACUAAGGACUUGGUCUCUUCCUCCCAGGUCUGCAAAGUGAUGCAGGAGUUAAGAUCCAGACUGCCUGGAUGGGAUUCCCACCCCACCUCUUCCCAGAUGGAGUGGUCCAGGCUUCAGAAGUCAACCUGGACCCUAAGGUGACCUCAAGAGUGGAAGCUGCACGUCCGGAUAAAGGGGCAGAAGGACAGCGAGAAUGUCAGUCCCUGAUGCACCGUGGUCUCCUCACCCCUGGAAUUUAAUGGGAGUGGGAUUUUAUCUGGUUCCAGCCCCCCCACCGCCCCGGAGGUCACGUCUCUCUUACAAUCCCACGUAAUUAUGAACCAAUGUUGGUGCUCGUACCACAUGUGGGACAUGCUGCUUUAGACCUUUGAGUGUGCUGGGGGGUAGGAAUCAUGAGCCUUAGCCUACAGAUAAAAGACCUGAAGUCCACAUGGAGAACAGACUUGUGGGUGCCGGGGGUGGGGGAGUGGGAUGGACAGGGACUUUGGGGCUAGUGGAUGCAAGCCAUUACCUUUAGAAGGGAUAAGCAAUGAGGGCCUGCUGUCCAGCACCGGGAACUACAGCCAGUCUCUUAGGAAAGAACAUGAUGGGGGAUGAUGUGAGAAAAAGAAUGUAGGCAUUUGUGGGAUGGGCUCACGUUGCUAUGCAGCAGAAGUUGGCACAAUUGUAAAUCAACUAUAUUUUUUUAAUUCUUAAAAAAAUACACUGGGUUUGUAAAAAAUAUACAAAAUAAAGCUAAAAUAAAACAUUUGAUUUAAAAAAAUAAUAAAAAGACCUGACGUUCAGAGAGAUCAAAUGACUUCCCCAAAGGCGCAAAGCCAGGAAGAGACGGAGCCAAGAUGUGAAUCCAGUUUUUUCUGCCUCCACAGCCCCUGCUCCAUUCUUUUUUUUUGGGGGGGGAGGUGGGGAGUACACAGCAGCAUGCGGAAGUUCCCAGGUCAGGGAUCAAACCCAAGCCAUGUCAGUGAUAACACCAGAUCCUUAGCCACUAGACCACCAGGGAACUCUGAAAUUUGGUUCUUAAGAGAACCAGGGAAAUAGAAAACUCCACUUUUCUUUACUCAAAUGAACCAUCCAAUCAACUAGUCAAGUGGUCCUGGACUCUGCCCCCCACAUAGGACCCCCGCCCAUCAGCUGGGACUGUUUUAUGCCUCGGCCACCACUGGCAGGAAGCCUGGAAUCCAUGAGCUGCCCAAGGGCCUAGAAAAGACAGAGCUGCUGAGACACCCGGCCCUCCCACUGUGUGCCUCGGAUUUAAAAACAAACAAACAAACAUGUCAUAGGGAGUGCAGGCUUCCUCAUGUUACGUGUGAGCAUUUUGGACAAGAUGGGCUUUCUCAUUCUUCACAGAGAAAAGAGCGCUUGUGCCCUCAUCAGGGUAAACAGGCAGGAGAAUUUGCACCAAAAGCCAAAGCAGGCUUUCUCCAGCUUACAGCAGUGACUAUUCCACCUGUCUACCAACCUCAGCCAGCUCAGAUGAAAAUAUUUCUUUUCACCGCAUGACUGCCCUGUUGUCCGUAGGCACCCGAUGAAAAUGCAUCUGUGAGCAGAUCAGGAACAAAGGCCCUCUGCCACAUAGGAAUGUCCCCAGGGACUUUCUACGGUAAGGUGUUAAGACUUCAGAACCUCUUCUUGUAACUGUAAGUCACUGAGGGGAGAAGACUCAAUCAGCCAAUUAGCCAUCAUUAGCAUCAGCUUAUUAGCUGCAAUUACACAAUUCCAAGGUUCUGCUCUUGCGGGUGUCCCCAUGUGAAUUUCCUCUUUGGUAUUUUCCCCACAUAUCACGUGUCUCACUCUUCGAGUCAGACUUAGGAGGUGUCCGGGGAGGGAUCAAGAAACCGACUGUUUGCAAGUCCCUAGGGCAUCCUGAGAGGGGAGGUCCUGGGACCACACUGAGAGAAACCCUGCCGUGGUUCGAGGGGGUCCUGGGCUCUUCCAGCUCCAUCCUAGACUUCAUCCCAUCGAUACCCCAGACGCCACACACCGUGGUUCAUUCUUAGAGUCCCAAGGACCACUUGGCCAAAGCAGGAAGGAAAUUAUCCGGCCUCUUUUGGAUACUAUGCUUUUUUCUAAAUAAUCAUCAG